AAAUUCUCUCUUUUAGUUUUUGUGCUGUUUGAUAAAUUCUCUCUUUUAGUUUCUGUGCUGUUUGAUUUUGAGUAGAAGAGAAAAAAAUGGCAGACGAAUCAACUUUGAAUUGCAUAGACAUCUUGUUGGCUAUCAUCCUUCCUCCUCUUGGUGUCUUUCUCAAGUUCGGAUGCCAGAUUGAGUUCUGGAUCUGUCUUAUCUUGACAUUCUUCGGUUACAUUCCUGGUAUCAUCUACGCCAUCUACGCCAUCACCAAGUGAAGAAGAACAGACAACUGAAGCCUAAUCUAUUCAUCAUGUAAAGUUCUUGGUCUUACUACUGUGUUUCAGAGAUGGGAUGUGCUUAUUUUAGUUUUAGUAUAUGGAUACCAUUAGGGUUUCAAGUGUGCUGCUAGCGUAUGCUGGUGUCUUUCUUAGCUACAAGUUCUACAACUACUAGUUAUUUAAUUAUUUAUUGGGUGUGCUAUUUAUCUUCCGUGAUCUUAUGUUUCUAUUGUUAUCCAAAAGUUUGAUUGCAGAAUGAUAAAAAUUGGUGUUAUUUAUCUCUAA